GUGAGUAUAAACUACUUUAUUAUACAGCUCUUCAGAGUGUUCCAAAAAGUUCCGUUGAUUUGAAUGGGCCACCCCAACGUUCGCAGGUCUUGAUAUUCAUAGUUUUCACGGGACGUCAGAAUGCCAGUUGGUGAGCAAGAAAAACAUCCCGCAGCUGUCUAUCACUGGAAUUUUUACAGGAACCGACCACCUUUCAUUCAAGAUCAUUUAAUAUCUCCGCUUUAACAGUGUCUGACUUAGGUAGUAAAAUGCCAGACAGUUGUUGCUCGGUUAGCUGUUCAAUUCGGCGAGGAGACAAGCCCGGAUUGUGUUUUUAUCGCAUUUAAAACCCACCCACGUUGCUGCCAGCCAGAUGAUGUACCGCUUGUUUUCCGCCUUGGGUGUUCUAUUCGGAAUGGCCUCAGCGGACGGCUCUUAUGGCUUAGGGCCGAAGCCAAAGAGGAUAUGUCCUGGGAUGCCAUUCAGUUUUACACUGACAUAUAAGAUAAGCGGAGCAGACUUGAUGUUCUACAAGAACGGGGUUGAGAGGAAGGUUGCCACUACCAAGGAGAUUAUAGACCCCCAGUUUCGGCUCAAUGGCACUGUACCUUAUUUACCCGAGGUCAUGAAAACGCAUGAAGGGAAGUAUUAUUGGAAGGCUCCAUCGGUCGAUUUUGAACUGAAUUACAUCAGACUAAUUCUGAAAGACUGCAGUGUUCGUCAAAAUGUGGUGUACGGUGAGGAGUUGGCCUUAAAUGUGCCGGCGGACGCGUCUGUGUUGGAGUUCACCCCUCACCUCUCAGACCAACACUCCGUCCUGUGGAGACGGAUACACAGAGGGGGGGACGAGGAAGCAAGGGGCGCGGUUAAGGACGGCCGCUGGACAGCACAGAGGAUGACCCAAGCGGAUCAGGGGCGCUACACUUUACUCAGGGAGA
ensembl:lncRNA